CUUGGGCUGCAGCCGCUCGUCCAGCAGUAUGUUAGAACUACACAGAGAGAAUACGCUUUGGAACUCAGGUGUGACAGGGUUCUUUAGAACUACACAGAGAGAAUACGCUUUGGAACUCAGGUGUGACAGGGUUCUUUAGAACUACACAGAGAGAAUACGCUUUGGAACUCAGGUGUGACAGGGUUCUUUAGAACUACACAGAGAGAAUACGCUUUGGAACUCAGGUGUGACAGGGUUCUUUAGAACUACACAGAGAGAAUACGCUUUGGAACUCAGGUGUGACAGGGUUCUUUAGAACUACACAGAGAGAAUACGCUUUGGAACUCAGGUGUGACAAGGUUCUUUAGAACUACACAGAGAGAAUACGCUUUGGAACUCAGGUGUGACAGGGUUCUUUAGAACUACACAGAGAGAAUACGCUUUGGAACUCAGGUGUGACAGGGUUCUUUAGAACUACACAGAGAGAAUACGCUUUGGAACUCAGGUGUGACAGGGUUCUUUAGAACUACACAGAGAGAAUACGCUUUGGAACUCAGGUGUGACAGGGUUCUUUAGAACUACACAGAGAGAAUACGCUUUGGAAC